rnacentral:rRNA from 1 species
CAGUCGCCGCGGUAAUACGUAGGUGGCAAGCGUUGUCCGGAAUUAUUGGGCGUAAAGCGCGCGCAGGUGGUUUAAUAAGUCUGAUGUGAAAGCCCACGGCUCAACCGCGGAGGGUCAUUGGAAACUGUUAAACUUGAGUGCAGGAGAGAAAAGUGGGAUUCCUAGUGUAGCGGUGAAAUGCGUAGAGAUUAGGAGGAACACCAGUGGCGAAGGCGGCUUUUUGGCCUGUAACUGACACUGAGGCUCGAAAGCCAGGGGAGCGAACGGGAUUAGAUACCCGUGUAGUCCCUGUCUCUUAUAC